GAUUUAAGUUACAGGUGGCUCAAUGAAUCUGGCUGUUAACCAGAAGGUUGGUGGUUCGAGCCCACCCAGGGAACA